UUCCGGUUGAUCCCGCCGGAGGACAUUGCUAUUGGGAUUCGAUUUAGCCAUGCCAGUCGAACGAGUUUAGACUCGUGGCAGAUAGCUCAGUAACACGUGGCCAAGCUACCCUUCAGUCGGCAAUACCCUCGGGAAACUGAGGUUAAUGGCCGAUGUGGGACGCCUGCUGGAAUGCGGCGUUCUCUAAAGAUUACGCUGAAGGAUGCGGCUGCGGCCGAUUAGGUUGACGGUGGGGUAACGGCCCACCGUGCCAGUAAUCGGUACGGGUGAUGAGAGUCAGAGCCCGGAGACGGAAUCUGAGACAAGAUUCCGGGCCCUACGGGGCGCAGCAGGCGCGAAACCUUUACACUGCACGAAAGUGCGAUAGGGGAAUCCCAAGUGCGGGGGCAUAUUAGCCCUCGCUUUUCUCGACUCUAAGGUGGUCGAAGAAUAAGAGCUGGGCAAGACCGGUGCCAGCCGCCGCGGUAAUACCGGCAGCUCAAGUGAUGUCCAAUAUUAUUGGGCCUAAAGCGUCCGUAGCUGGCCGCGCAAGUCCGUCUGGAAAUCCACCUGCUCAACAGGUGGGCGUCCGGCGGAAACUGCGUGGCUUGGAACCGGAAGGCUCAGAGGGUACGUCCGGGGUAGGAGUGAAAUCCCGUAAUCCCGGACGGACCACCGAUGGCGAAAGCACUCAGAGAAGACGGCUUCGACAGUGAGGGACGAAAGCUAGGGUCUCAAACCGGAUUAGAUACCCGGGUAGUC
rnacentral:rRNA from 1 species